AUUGAACGCUGGCGGCAUGCCUUACACAUGCAAGUCGAACGGCAGCACGGGUGCUUGCCCCUGGUGGCGAGUGGCGAACGGGUGAGUAAUACAUCGGAACAUGUCCUGUAGUGGGGGAUAGCCCGGCGAAAGCCGGAUUAAUACCGCAUACGAUCUACGGAUGACAGCGGGGGACCUUCGGGCCUCGGGCUUUAGGGUUGGCCGAUGGCUGAUGGGCUCGUUGGUGGGGUAAAGGCCUACCAAGGCGACGAUCAGUAGCUGGUCUGAGAGGACGACCAGCCACACUGGGACUGAGACACGGCCCAGACUCCUACGGGAGGCAGCAGUGGGGAAUUUUGGACAAUGGGCGAAAGCCUGAUCCAGCAAUGCCGCGUGUGUGAAGAAGGCCUUCGGGUUGUAAAGCACUUUUGUCCGGAAAGAAAUCCUUGGCCCUAAUACGGUCGGGGGAUGACGGUACCGGAAGAAUAAGCACCGGCUAACUACGUG
rnacentral:rRNA from 1 species